rnacentral:tRNA from 1 species
CCAUCGGUGAUUCAGUGAUAGAAUGCUCGCUAGCCACGCGGGCGGCCCGGGUUCGAUUCCCGGCCUAUGCU